AGCGAACGCUGGCGGCAGGCCUAACACAUGCAAGUCGAACGAACCUUUCGGGGUUAGUGGCGGACGGGUGCGUAACACGUGGGAACGUGCCUUUAGGUUCGGAAUAACUCAGGGAAACUUGUGCUAAUACCGAAUGUGCCCUUCGGGGGAAAGAUUUAUCGCCUUUUGAGUGGCCCGCGUCUGAUUAGCUAGUUGGUUGAGGUAAUGGCCCACCAAGGCGACGAUCAGUAGCUGGUCUGAGAGGAUGAUCUGCCAGAUUGGGACUGGGACACGGCCCAAACUCCUACGGGAGGCAGCAGUGGGGAAUAUUGCGCAAUGGGCGAAAGCCUGACGCAGCCAUGCCGCGUGAAUGAUGAAGGUCUUAGGAUUGUAAAAUUCUUUCACCGGGGACGAUAAUGACGGUACCCGGAGAAGAAGCCCCGGCUAACUUCGUG
rnacentral:rRNA from 1 species